AAUAGAUACCCGGGUAGUCCACGCCGUAAACGAUGAGUGCUAAGUGUUAGAGGGUUUCCGCCCUUUAGUGCUGAAGUUAACGCAUUAAGCACUCCGCCUGGGGAGUACGGCCGCAAGGCUGAAACUCAAAGGAAUUGACGGGGGCCCGCACAAGCGGUGGAGCAUGUGGUUUAAUUCGAAGCAACGCGAAGAACCUUACCAGGUCUUGACAUCCUCUGACAACCCUAGAGAUAGGGCUUCCCCUUCGGGGGCAGAGUGACAGGUGGUGCAUGGUUGUCGUCAGCUCGUGUCGUGAGAUGUUGGGUUAAGUCCCGCAACGAGCGCAACCCUUGAUCUUAGUUGCCAUCAUUCAGUUGGGCACUCUAAGGUGACUGCCGGUGACAAACCGGAGGAAGGUGGGGAUGACGUCAAAUCAUCAUGCCCCUUAUGACCUGGGCUACACACGUGCUACAAUGGACGGUACAAAGAGUCGCGAGACCGCGAGGUGGAGCUAAUCUCAUAAAACCCGUUCUCAGUUCGGAUUGUAGGCUGC
rnacentral:rRNA from 1 species